UACGUAGGUGGCAAGCGUUGUCCGGAAUUAUUGGGCGUAAAGCGCGCGCAGGCGGUUUCUUAAGUCUGAUGUGAAAGCCCCCGGCUCAACCGGGGAGGGUCGUCGGGGACCGGCGGGCCUCGAGGGCGGCAGGGGCCGGUGGAAUUCCCGGUGUAGUGGUGAAAUGCGUAGAGAUCGGGAGGAACACCCGUGGCGAAGGCGGCCGGCUGGGCCGACCCUGACGCUGAGGCGCGAAGGCGUGGGGAGCGAACGGG
rnacentral:rRNA from 1 species